AGUGAACGCUGGCGGUAGACCUAACACAUGCAAGUCGAACGGCAGCACAGUAAGAGCUUGCUCUUACGGGUGGCGAGUGGCGGACGGGUGAGGAAUACAUCGGAAUCUACUUUUUCGUGGGGAUAACGUAGGGAAACUUACGCUAAUACCGCAUACGACCUACGGGUGAAAGCCGGGGAUCUUCGGACCUUGCGCGAUUGAAUGAGCCGAUGUCGGAUUAGCUAGUUGGCGGGGUAAAGGCCCACCAAGGCGACGAUCCGUAGCUGGUCUGAGAGGAUGAUCAGCCACACUGGAACUGAGACACGGUCCAGACUCCUACGGGAGGCAGCAGUGGGGAAUAUUGGACAAUGGGCGCAAGCCUGAUCCAGCCAUACCGCGUGGGUGAAGAAGGCCUUCGGGUUGUAAAGCCCUUUUGUUGGGAAAGAAAAGCAGCAGGUUAAUACCCCGCUGUUCUGACGGUACCCAAAGAAUAAGCACCGGCUAACUUCGUG
rnacentral:rRNA from 1 species